rnacentral:lncRNA from 1 species
GAACUUCAGUCUCUUCUCUAUAAUCAGACAAACAUCAAAAUCACUGCAGUGGAUAAGAGCUUUCAGUAGAUCUAGAGCUGAAUAACACCAGUUCAUAUACCAUCAGCAUCCUACCAUCAUUUGCCUCUGCUGUUAGAAGUUCUGUUGAAGCAGCUGGAAGAAGAGGGGGGGAGGAGGAAGGAUGAAGGGCUCUCCAUUUGUAUCCUCCUCUCAAUGGACAACCAGGUUUCUACAACGUCUAUGACAACUUCUUUCACUCUAAAAUUACAAUUAUUAGAGCCAGGAAGGGGGAACAGCUUUUCGGUUUCACUAAAACUUUCAGAUUUCAAAUUCUUCCUUUCUGCACAAAGAAAAAAGCAAUGCCUUGCAGAGCUUCCAGGGAGGUAGCAGAUCUCUGGAACAGCCCACUGCUGAAGAAACUCACUAAGACUGUUCCAAUAAACACUCAUUACCAAUAUCA